CCCUCCCUUGUGCAGAGGCGGAGGGGUUGGCUGUCGGGGAGGGCACCUGGAGAGGACACACAGCCCCAUCAGAGACCAGGGAGUGGCUCUGGGAGCUCUUUUCAUCCAAAGGGGCUGGAGCUCCAGUUAGCCAAGGUGAGCGCCAGGUGGUGACAGGAAUGACAUAGGAAAAUAAGACGGCCUGGGCAGGGAGGGCUGCCUGCUCUGGGUGUGAGGGGAUUGCUGUCUUAGAUCACGUGGUCCGGGAAGGCCUCCAGGCAUGGCUUUGCACAGAAGCUGGUACCUGAGGGCUCAGCCCCUUGGAGGCCUUGGGGACAGAGGGACGACCCUGGGUCUUGGGUCGGGAGAGGCUCACCUAGGGGCCAGGUGGAUGUGUCUAAGGAGGGCUGAGGGCUGGGCAGGGAGAGCAGCUGUGUGGUGAGGACGAAGGGAGGUCCGGCCAGAGCCCCCGGGGAGGGGCUGUUGUCAUGUGGAUGAGCUGGGAAUUAGGAAAGCUUGUGGAUUGCAAGGCCUCAGUAUGCAAAGCCCUGGGACAGACGGGCCCCCCAGAAAUGAGUGGGGCAGGUGGGCUCCCCAGGAAUGAGGGGGGCAGACGGGCUCCCCAGGAAUGAGGGGGACAGAUGGGAUCCCCAGGAAUGAGGGGGGACAGACGGGUCCCCCAGGAAUGAGGGGGGCAGACAGGCUCCCCAGGAAUGAGAGGGGCAGAUGGGCUCCCCAGGAAUGAGGGGGGCAGAUGGGCUUCCCAGGAAUGAGGGGGACAGAUGGGCUCCCCAGGAUAAGGGGGACAGAAGACCCCAGGCCUGAGGACCAGGCCUGCCCCUGGCACCACCAGACACCAGGAGGGCACUGCUGCUCUUAAUUGAAAGUCUUGGUGCAGGUGAGGGCGUGGAGGAUUCCUGGGGGAAGCUUCGUGCUGCAAGGUGGAAAAGACAGAUAACAAGAGAAAAACAGAAGCUUAAUAGCAUGUAUACCUUGGUCUG
rnacentral:lncRNA from 1 species